GGUUAAAAAGCUCGUAGUUGGAUUUCGGCGAUCAGGGGCCGGUGAUAUAUUUGUAUCUACUGGCCCAUUUGGUCGUAUUUUUGAAAGAGGGUUUGGGGUCCCCUUCACUGGGUGUCCUAGGUCGCUUUCAGGUUUACUUUGAAAAAAUUAGAGUGCUCAAAGCAGGCUUUAACGCUUGAAUAUUCGUGCAUGGAAUAAUAGAAUAGGAAGUUCGUCUCUAUUUUGUUGGUUUUAGGAUAACGACUUAAUGAUUAAUAGGGACAAUCGGGGGAAUUAGUAUUCAAACGACAGAGGUGAAAUUCUUGGACCGUUUGAAGACUAACUACUGCGAAAGCAUUUUCCAGGAGUGUUUUCAUUAAUCUAGAACGAAAGUUAGAGGUUCGAAGGCGA
rnacentral:rRNA from 1 species